rnacentral:tRNA from 1 species
GACCGCUUGGGGCAAUGGUAGCGCAUUCGACUCCAGACCGUAAGGUUGGGCGUUCGAACCGCUCAGUAGUCA